ACUUACUGAUUUAUAUUUUAAAUUCCAGUAUAGUUAACAUACAGUGUUAUAUUAGUUUCAGGUGUAUGGAGACUAUGAUUUUUGGAAUGCUGAAAAUAAUCUUCACCAUCAGCCAGGCCAAUUUCUUCAAGACUGAGAUUUAAAAUGACCCUGGCUCUCAUGGUAUUCAGUAUGCAAUCUAAAUGGGAGCCCACGGAAGAAGGUGGCACAGACUGAGCACAAAGCUGUUGAUUAAAGGAAGAACCAGAAUAUGCAUAAGAUCCCAGGUGACUUAGAGCAUGGCCACAUUCAGUUCUUCCAAAUGCAGGUAAGGAGAAAUAGGCAAUGAUAUUGGUUUGCUAGAUACCUGGAGGCUUUAAUGCAUUAGCUUAUUGUAUCCUCAUCGCAUCCUUAACUGGGUACUGUUAUUGUGCCCAUUUUACAGUUGAAGAAACUUAGGUUCGGAGUUUAUGUAACUUUCCCUAGGUUACACAGCUAAGAAGUUGCAAACUCAACCCUUGCCUUUAAUGACACUCUAUAACAGAGGACCCAUGGUUUGAAAAAUCAUUUAAAACUACCCCAAUAUCAGUAUUUCCCAGCCAAUUAGAUGUCCUAUUCCUUUUUAGCAAAAAUAUCAAAAAACUCAAGUCCUAUCCAAAGACGAUGUUAUGGUGGUACCUGGUGCUGAGUCUCUCCCAGUGAAGUCACAAUGUGUUGAGGCUUUAAAAAAUAGAAGCCUUAGGGCACCUGGGUGGCUCAUUCCGUUGAGUGACUGACUCUUGCUUUUAGCUCAGGUCAUGAUGUCACUGUUCGCGAAAUCGAGCCCCACCUCUGGCUCUGUGCUGACAGUGCAGAGCCUGCUUGGGAUUCUCUCUUGCCUUUCUCUCUGCUCCUCCCCUGCUUGCACACUCUCUCUCAAGUAAAUAAGCUUAAAAAAAUAGAGGCCCUUCUUUGCCUAUGGCAUCAUAACUUGGAAUUAUAACUCCCUUGGUCUUAAAAUUAAAGAUACAUGCUUUGAAAGCCCAGUGUAAGAGAGGCGGAAGUGAUCAUUAUUCAGAACAAUGUCACAUCAGAUUUUGGUUAAUCUCACUGUUCAAAAAUGCAUUAGAUACAAGGAUAUCAUUUCCCUAUAAACUGUAGAUCUGUACAGCACAUGAAAUUUUGUCAAAUGGUUUUACACUUAUGACUUCACAACAACUUGGUGGAGUGGUUAUUGGAGCACCAUGUGAUAGAAGGUAAGACUUAACUUCUUUAAGGAACCUGUCCAAAUGCCAUCAGUUCUCUUGGCAGUAGAGAUGAGUCGAGAGCCCCAUUCUUUAGACUUUUUACUACUCAGAAUAUUGUCCUUGGGCCAGCAAUGUCCACAUCACCUGGGAGUUUGUUGAAAUGCAAACUCUCAGGCCCCACCUGAUCUAGUGAAUCAGAAUCUGUCUUUUAACAAGGUCUCUAUAAAUUUGUAUGCAUAUAAACGUCUGACAGCACCGUCUCUUUCCACUGUCUCAAAUUCUCUCUCAUCUUCAGUCUAGAAUGUAAGUCCCAUGAGGGGAAGGCCUGCAUCUGGCUUGUUCACCAUCAUACCCUUAGCACUUGCACAGUGCCUGGGCCAAAGUAGGCAUUCCACCAGACACAUCAAUGACUGUAUGGCUGCCAGCCAGAUAGUACGUGUGUCCCUUCCUAGAGGAAACAAGAUCAUUUUCCGUGUUCUUGAAGGUCCACCAUCAGCACAAAGGUAUUUGCCUAGUUCAUCUGAAAAAGGUGAAGCCAUGCUUAAAAGAUAUACUGAAGCCUGUGGUUUGCAAUCCUGCUUCUUAGCCCACAAAACCAGUGCCUAUCAGGAGGGGAAAUAUUGUACUGUGUAAUUAUUUAAAUGAAAACAACAUAAAUGAAGAGAAAGGGCUAUUUAUAUCAAUGCUACUAAUUAAAUGAGAAGUAAUGGGCCCUGCUGAGAAAGGAUACAGUCGGAGAGAGCAAGAAAAACUUCCUGCCAGCAAAGACUAGCAGACAAUGGGACAGUUUUCCUAGUGGGAUAAUUAUGACUCCUGGAGAAGAUUGUCCGAGGCAAGAUGAGAUAAGUAUCAGGAAAGUAUAAUGUGCUUCCAACCCUAUUAUCAAUGAUGCUUUCAGGCACCAGCUCCGGGUCACAGAUUUUGAAUACACUAAAUGCUUAAUUCAGUGCUGCCCUUUCACCCGAAAGAUCUCGGGGUAAGAGAAAAAUAUGUGCACCAGUCCAGUGCUCCCUGAUUUAACUCUUCAUUGAAAUACACUAGGAAUAAAUGACAGGGGAGGAAAUUACAACCCCACUUCCCUCCCCCCCCCCCCCGCUCAGAAAUUGAUUUCCAUUUCAAACAGCUGAUAGAACAACAAUGUGGUCAUCUAAAAGCCUGUGAAGAUGAUCCUCCAGCCCCUUGCUUUACUUUUUUUUUUUUUAAGAUCACUCUGAAAAAAUAUUUUGGAAGCAGGCGGUGUGGAAGUGAAAGUCUCCUAUUCAGAAAAUCAGUACAGAUUGAGGUAUCAUAAGAUGUUGAUUUAUAGGCUGCUCGGUUGUAAAUGACUUGCUUUCUCAUUAGUCAGACCUGGUUGAUGGCUAUGAUAAAAAUAAGACAAAUAAUUUAAAACCUAUACUUGCAGAGUAUGCUUGACUUCCAAUUUGUCCUUGGAAGAUUUGAGGCCUGAGUGAAGAAAGAUUCACAGAGAAGUCAAAAGACUGCAAGUCACAGAUACCACAGAGCAAUGCCCUUAGAGCUCAGGCUCUGGAACAGAACGACCUGGGUUUAAACCCAGGUGGACCCCAGUCUUUCUGGCACCUCAUCCAAGCACUUCAUUCCCUUAGGUUCUGUGUUCCCCACUUGUAAGAUGCAGGUAACAAUAGAAACUACCUCUGUGGUGGGUGGGAGGAAUAAAUGACAUAGUUCCAUUCCAUAAAUGGAAUACACCUGGCCUGGCAAGCUCAGCUCUCAGUAAAUGUUACCUGCUUUUGCUAUGCAAACAAAUAGCUUCUGUUUGAAAAUAUUUCCAAUUUUACAUAUGCUUAUCAUAUACCUUCUAUGGGACCAAAGCAGGGAGAAUUGAGAAAGGCUAUCUAGAGCCGAUUUCUUGCCUUCAGUGAGCUUACAGACUAACCGGGAAGAUGAUGUGGGAACAUGAAACUAUCAAGGAAAAUGGAGAGAGAGCUGGAUAAAAACCAAGUGAGAGAUGAUGGCCAGAGGAGGAGAGAGCUGAGUGGGGCCGGGGGGAGGGCUGGGAGAGACUAAAGGUAUAAGCGGUGGUGAAAGGCUUCAAGGACAAAGAAACUGGACUGUGGCAGGGCCCUGGGGGACAUGGGGGUAUUAAGAUGGUGAUGAAUGGUACGGCCAUGAACUUAUACUGGAUCUGCUAUUGAACUACCCUGGUUAUCUGACAGGAUACUAGGAUAUCUCCUAUGACGUGCUUCUGGUAAGCUCUUGGUGGCUUGUCUCUAUGACAACCUAUAAAUUAUAUUCUUAGUGGCUUUUUACAGGAUCUCCAUUCAUCCAUGUUUAUUGAGCAUAUAAUAUACGCUAGGCACAGGGGAUAUGAAUAUGACAAACCAGGCCCCAGUCUUUACAGAGCUCGUAUUCUACUGGCAGAGAUAUAAAAUAAGCACAUAAAUAUAUAAUAUCAGUAGAGAUCAAGCAGGGCAAGGUGGCUAUUGUAUACAGAGUGGCCGAGAAGACCUUUUUGAAGGCAUGACCUUAUGAGCACAGGCCUCAAUCCCAGAGGAAGAGUGUUCCAGGUGGAGGGAACAGCAAGUGCACCGGCUCCAAGGUAGGAUUGCGUUUCCCACUUGGAAAGAAGGCCUGGGCCACCAUAAAGGAGCAAACAUGGCCAUUCGAGUGCCGUGUAGCUUUCUUACAUAGUACUCCAGUGAUGUCUGCCCAAAUGGCACACUAAUGAGCAAAGUAAAGUUCACAAUCAUUGAUCAUACUUCCACAAGUAAGCUAAAAAAUUGAGUUGAAGGGAUACUAGUGAAGCAGUUGGCAUUUGCAAGCUGAUGAACUCAUUUUUCUUUAGAACACCAGGAAGUUUAAGAUGUGUCUGAAUGUAUAGGCUAGAGUUCAAACUGUGGCCUUCGUUUGAAUUAUUUUCCAUUUUCUACUUGCUAAAGCCCCAAUGAUGAUUAGUAUUUAGUAAAAUUACUUUGUUUAGUAAAAAUCCAUGAAACAGGUAUAUUUCUGGAUAAGAGUGAAUGAGUGCAUUGUGUGUUAGAACCUUCAUCUUGGGACUUCCCCCCGAAUAAAGCCACAUUAUUGUCUAACACCAAUAAUUCAAGUGACAAUGUGUUGUUGCAGGUCCGUUAACCUGAAAUCUUGAACUAAAUCUGUCAAAAGUUUUCUUUUUUUUGCAAACUGGCUAAAACGUUUAGUGGCAAGGGAAAAAAAAUGCCACGGAAGCAUUAUGUUAAGAAACCUUUGUUUCAACAUGAAGGAGGAGUUGUUUUUAUUUAAUAAUUUCUGCCAACAGUCCGGUAACAUAUUCCAAUUUUGAUUUGCCAUUUUCUUAAACUGGCCUGGUAAAAUGUAGACAUCUAACAUACAAACAAUAAGACUUCAACCUCCUCACUAGAGGGAGAGAAUAAGUAUUGAUAUGUAUGUAUAAAUGGUACGUUCUUCAACUUCUUGAUUCCUUAACCUUUCUGUGGAAAAGACUCUCGGGACGUUACUGAGGAAAAAGUGGUUUUUUCCUUCCAGAUGGAUUUGUUGGCGACGGCAAUAUUUUUAGUUAUGCCAAUAAAAUGAAAGGGAGACAGAAAAUCAGGCAACUGCCGGAGUGGCUAGUGUGCGACUAUUACCAAGGCAGAAAUGAGGCCAAAGAGAUGAUAAAUGGGUGUCUUUCACCCACUCCAUCAGCUGAAGCCUGACCUGGAUCUUCUUUUCCAUCUGAGCUCCAGGCAAGCCACCAUUUUUCACAGCAGCACUUAAUAGUGGACAUUAACUUAGCCCUCCCCGAAAGGGCUGACCUGCAGUCUACACUCGGUGCUUCUCCAAACUGUAAUCACUUGCUCACUCGGUAAUUUUAUCAAAUAGCAUGCACCUUUUCAAGCCACUUAUUGGCCAAUUAAGUCAAGUUCUCACUGAGGGGGUCCAGCUGGCUUCAAGUUAUCUAAGAUGAAUUGAUUGAAGACAUUCUGCAAUCUAUGAACCCAGUUUAAUGAUCUAGGUGAUAAUACUUGUAAUUCUUCUCAGUCAGGGGAAUUUGCUGCAGCUGUUGUCGGCAAAUCCAUGUUCUGAUACACUGAAGCACCAGAAAAGCAUUAAUCCGCCCUCGGAGUUCCAUAGCGAUGGCUGCAUUGUGAAAAGGGAAAUUUAAAAUUCACCCGGCAUCACCAAGUGAACAUGGUCUUUCCGUUGAUGUGUUUUUACUUUAUCCCAUUGCAAAUGUUGUUUUCUAAAGGUAGAAUAUGGGGAGAAUACAUUAUUGAUAAUACUUCAUCAAGAAUAGUGAAUUGCAAACAAACGCCUGAAACAACAAAAAAAUGCAAUAAACACCACAUCAAACGUUUGAGAUACAAAAAGCACCGCUUUAAGUGUCUGGAGCCACAAGGGUCUGUGGAUUGUGGUACCAUCUAUGCAGAAGGCAGAGAGUGCCCUGAAAUACAGGGAGAAUCUGAUUGGCAGAAGCACUGAGUCACAUAAGGAGUGACUGAGGUCACGUAACAAGCCCUGAUGCCGGAACCUGAGCUUGAAUCCACUCAUUGUACAGUGAGGACCCUGGACACCAGCCUGUACCAAAAGCUGUAGGAGAACCGAGUGUCUGUGCUGAUGAAGGAAAGAACUGGGACCAACAGAGGCAAGUGACUAGAUGGAGAUGUUAUCUCAAUAAAAUAAGAUGCUCCUGUCCUUAGAACUGAGCAUCCAGACAAAAGCUGAAAGACCUUUUUUGGGACGGAUGAAAGAUUUCAACUGUAAGAUGUGUUGAGUCUAGGACAUGAGCAAAAUAGAACAAAUGACCAGCCUGUUGAUUUCAUUUCUCCUCACUUACAGAAAAACAAAAGUAAAGGUCUCUAAAAAUUGUUUAAAGUUACAACAAAAUGAAAGUCUCUAAAUUCCUAUGAUUUUUCUUAAAAGCUGACUUGGGGGUAAGUGUCAGAUUUAGGCCCAUCUUCUCAGAAGGUGUCACUCUUUUAUGGUACUUGGCCUUUGGAACCAUGUAAUCUUUAGCCCUGAGACUUAGAUUGCCGCCUCCCACUAUCAUUCUAAGGAUUGGAGGAGUUUAUGUGGAAGGGCUUUAUAAUGGCUGCGUACCAUACAGAUGUGAGGAAUCGGUGAACAGAAAUACAUGUAUUUUAAGUCCCCUUGAUUUUUUCAGUAUAAUGAUACAGAUCAGUCUUUAAAGCUACUGAAUCAACCAGACAUCCGUCUGGUAAAUAUAGUCAUAUAAAUACAGCCAAGGCAUAUAUAUUUUCAUUGGUUCAACCAAUAUUUACUGUAACUGGCACUUAUGUGUGUCAGUUAUAUGCUAGGUUUACAGAAAUGAUUAAUGUACAGUACUACCCCUCAGAACUGGCAUAAAAAUAAAUUGCUGCAAUUUAGCAAAAUUAAUGCUGAUAGAGGUAUCAUCUUAACAAAAAAGAAAUGAAACAAAAUCAAUCACUUUUUAAAAAAAAUUUUAACAUUUAUUUAUUUUUGAGACAGAAACAGAGCAC